rnacentral:rRNA from 1 species
UACGGAGGGGGCUAGCGUUGUUCGGAAUUACUGGGCGUAAAGCGUACGUAGGCGGCUUUGUACGUUAGAGGUGAAAGCCCGGGGCUCAACCCCGGAAUUGCCUUUAAGACUGCAUCGCUAGAAUCAUGGAGAGGUAAGUGGAAUUCCGAGUGUAGAGGUGAAAUUCGUAGAUAUUCGGAAGAACACCAGUGGCGAAGGCGACUCACUGGACAUGUAUUGACGCUGAGGUACGAAAGCGUGGGGAGCAAACAGG